GCCUGCACAAAGCCGCGUCCUCGCGUCCCCGCGUCCCCGCCGCCGCCUCGGGCCGCCGCGCGCGGCCCCUCCUCCUCUCCUCCCGCCGCCGCCUCGGCCGCUUCUUCCGCUUUUUUUUUUUUUUAAUUUAGAUGUGAUGUUUGUUUCGAGCUCUCGCCUUGCGCACGGUUAAAGUCGCGGCGGCAGAAUUAUCGGAAGAUUCCUGCAGGGGAAAGAAGAGAGAGACGAGUCAGCUCCGGCGCCGGCGGAGCCCCGGCUCUCGGCACCUGGGGAAGGAAAACACGCCCCAACACACGCGCCUCUGCGGGCGCCAAAAAUAACCCGCGCGGGCCGGGCGCCCACCCCGGGGCAACCCGCGCCCACCUCAGGGGCCCCAGGCACCCACCCCGAGGUAACGGGGCGCCCACGUCAGGGGCUCGGGGCGCGCUUCCCCGGGGCUCAGAGCAACUGGGGUCGGAGCACCCGCCACGCAGGAAAAGGCGCCCACCUCCGGCGAAGGGCGAGGGGAAGUGGCGGCCGCCCCGACACUCUCUGGACACGCGGAGGCGGCUCCCGAGGAUCUCCCGGCCCCGGGCGGGCGGGGGGCGACGCGUGGGUCUCUCCGGACCCUAACUCCCCAGAGGCUGCCGCGUGCCGAGCUCUGUCACGUCCCCUCAGAGCCCCGUUAAGGCCCGCGGCGCCGAGAGGAAGCCCACGGCGGGCAGGGGCGGCCGGGUAUGACAAUCGCCGUGCGGCCCCGGGGCAGCUCCCGGAGGGGGCAGCCCAGACCCACCCCACCCGCCGGCUGCUGUCUCCUCCCGAGCUCGGCGCUGCCCCCUACAGGCCGCGUGGUCCCUCCUCGGUCGCCCCCUGACCCACCAUGAGCCGCCUAGCUCCCUGUCGAGAUUGCCGCCGUCGCGGCUGCUGUCACCGAGGCCGGGUCAUCGGGCCGCGGGGACCUCAAAGCCGAGUGGACGGGAGCCCCAAGUCAUUGCCUAUCCUUCGCCUCCCCAGAGCUGCUGCAACUGUCAGUCACCCACCCGGAACCCCGAGGGGCAACUACCAAGUAGGCCUCGGGGCCCGGAACAAGGGUCCCGGGGCUCAGGAUCUCGGCCGCUGCGCCUCACUCCUGCCCCAGCCCCGCGCACGGAACUCGUUUCCUUCCCACCCAGUUCGGGACACUCCUCUCUGACUUCCCCAGUAGGAUCUCACUUGCAGCGCUACAGCCAGUCCCUCUUCUGGUUCUCACGCACCCACUUAAGGCGGAGUGACUGGCCUAAAAGUCCAAGCUGAUCGUGUGGCUUCCGUUCGUAAAUAUCUCCCCUGGAUCUCCCUCCCUGGAGCCAGACAAGACUCAAAACUCCGAAGGGAAUGCAGUCCCCGCAGGGCGCAAAGGAGAAACUAAUAGUCCAGAGGCGGGGUGAACUUAAAGACCUGGCUUUCAUUAGCGUGGUGUUGUAACAGACUGCCAAGGAGCCUCUGAGGAAAUGGAUUUACGUACAUAUACAUACUCGCCCUUGCCCCUGAAGCAACAUCAAAUACUUUCAUGUUAUUCUUGGGGGCGUUUUAAUUCUUCCGAUCCUCUGAAUUCGUGUUUUUGUACAUCUCUUUCCAACCUGGGCCUACACACUAACAGAAAUAGUUUUUUACAUCGAAGGACAAUGCUUAGUGUUUUAUUCAGUCUCAGCUCUUUUCUUUCUUUUUUCUCGUUGUGUUUCAAAAUGUUUAUUUUUUCUGUCUUGUGAUAGUUUUGGAGGAAAAAUAUUGAAAUAAUUCAAAUCAGGCUCUUAACUCUGCUUUAUUAAAUUUAUAGUCAUAGUAGCCUGUGAGUAUGCUUCGGGGGAGGAAAAAAGAAUGCUGGGGUCUUUAUUCUUCAAGUUCUCUAAGUUUGAUAUUUUGAAUAAACACCCAGAGGUGUCUCUGCCUUUUGUGUGUUAGUAUCUAAUCUUUCCUGCAUUUACGAGUCACUAGUAAAAUGCUAUGAAAGCCAUAGAUCCCAUGGCUCUCACUGUGAUUUUCCUGGGCUGAGUAGGGACUUAGUGAUGUUUAACCCCCAGUAUGCUUUUUAUAGAAGCACCAGCUGAUUCACCAGUGCCCUCCAAAGUGAGCACCUAUCCAUCUCACUCUGGACUCCCAACAGGUCAUACCAGGGAGCUUCGUUGAAAUAGACUUGGCAUUUAAAUUAAAAUGUUUCCCAAAGCAUCUUGGCAGACCUGUAACUAAUGAUGCCAGAGGCCCAAGGCCUGUGCCAGGUUCCCUUUUAUUCCCAUAAGUGCUUGUCUCCCACAAGCCACUGGUCACACGCCUGCUGAUGUUAUAGAAGCACUUCUUCAUCCCACAAACAGCCCAACUGUAGGUACCCUAUCUCAGACAUGGUGAAGGGAAGCAGCAUGUUCCUCUGACAUGUGCGAUGCUUGGCUCCCAACAGGCUUUUUAUAAUAAGCUAAACUCAGAUUUUUUCAUCACAAAUAGCGU
rnacentral:lncRNA from 10 species